rnacentral:lncRNA from 1 species
CAGACUUCACCUUACCAGUCUUCAACACAGGAAGGAACCAUUAAUCAGAAGAAGAAGUAUCACCUUCACCUUCACCUUCAGAGUCUUCAGAGCUUCCAGAACUGCCACUGGAUUGGGAUUUUGAUCUUGCAUUUGAGUCCUUACCAGCCUUCUCUACUUCUUCCUUUUCCAGGCUACAGAUAAGAACUUCUAAAGCUUCUUUUCUAGCCUUGGCCACCCUUAUACCAUUAUCCAAU